AGAGAACAUCACACGUUCCGACAGGUGUGCUUCAGUCGACAAAAACAGUCCGCCACGUAAGGAUGAAAAUGAGCGGAGCCCUCUCCUCCGUGUGAAUCCUGCCUCCUCUGAGCUGUUGCUUCUUUCUGCAGACUCAGGACUGGUGAUCCUGCAGCUUUAACCGUCCGCUGUGCUACUGACCCGUGUGCGAACGCUCAGAGCUCAUUCUGCAUGUUCUCUAUAUGAGCGGCUUCACUGGCUCUGCAUGGGAAGACUCCAUGGCUAUUUAUAGACAUCCAAAUGAGAGGACAUGAGGAUUCCCUGUGGGAAAACUCUCCGGGUAUAAACCACCAGAGAACCGGAGGAAUGCAUCACUGCAGGGUCACUGGAACACAGCGUUAAGUCAUGUAUGUGUUUAAGAGGAAAAUAUUUCUGGACUUUUGUCGAAAGGAGAAGCGGAAUAUUUCAGUUCCUAAUGGACUUUUUUUUUUGGUUUCUUUGUCUUCCCUGGGAAACCUCUUCCGUCAUCCUCAUCCUCCUCACUGCAGGAAAUGAUGAGUUUUAUGUUUCUUGUUUGUUUUGAAUCAAUUAAGGGUGAACAUGAGCAGCGGAAGGACAAAACAAGACAAUAAUACCAACUAGAGUCAGUCAGAAGUCAAAAAGCAUCAUGUAAAUUUGAAUUUCAUGGACAGACCACCAGUUUACUUCUAGUAAGCCUCAGUGAUACUGGAGUAAAGGGAUUAUGCUGCAAUGGGGAUAUGAAAUGCCACUAACCAAUCAAAAUGUCACUAUAACUACCUAUAAUAAUGAAAAAACACUAAGCAAACAUAAUGACAUCCCUGACAUAUCUCACUCUCUGCUGUUGCACUGAAGCGUUAUCGAUGGAAGCAAUGUUUCUGUGUUCAAAUCUGGUUUUACGCACAUUAAAAUAAAAUGGGUUGACAAGUUUAAAAAUAAGAAAACAGGAAACGUCAGGUGUUUAUUGAAAAAGGAAUCAUAGUGGCAGUGCAACAGUUUCAACAAUAGUUAAAGGUGUGUCAGGUCUGAGCUGAUUCAAAGCAGCAGGCUUGUAGCUGAGAGUGGUGGUCAAAGGAGAGGUUGUAAAUACUGAGCUCUGCUUAAGCUCCAUUUAUUCAUCCAUUAAAACCUUAUAUCAGACAAACUCUUCACAGUUAAAGUUCCCACUUGUUAUGUUGUUUGAA